rnacentral:lncRNA from 1 species
ACUACAAGCUCUGCCUCCCAGGUUCACGCGAUUCUCCUGCCCAAGCCUCCUGAGUAGCUGGGAUUACAGGCAUGCACCAACACGCCUGGCUAAUUCUGUAUUUUUAGUAGAGGCGGGGGUUUCUCCAUGUUGGUCAGGCUGGUCUCGAAUUCCUGACCUCAGGUGAUCCGCCCGCCUCAGCACUCCCAAAGUACUGGGAUUACAGCUGUGAGGCACCGCACCCAGCCAAAAAUUUCCAGUUGCUUUCUUUUCUUUUUGAGAUAGAGUUUCACUCUUGUUGCCCAGACUGGAGUGCAAUGGCACGAUCUCGACUCACUGCAACCUCUGCCUCCUGGGUUCAAGCAAUUCUCCUGUCUCAGCCUCCCAAGUAGCUGGAAUUACAGGCGUGUGCUACCAUGCCCAGCAAUUUUUUUUUUUUUUUUUUCAGUAGAGAUGGAGUUUCACCAGGCCAGGCUGAUCUCGAACUCCUGACCUCAGGUGAUCCACCCGCCUCAGCCUCCCAAAGUGAUAGGAUUAUGAUUACAGGCGUGAGCCACUGCGCCCUGCCUGGGCUGUGGUCUUUAACUGGCUGAGAGCCUUCAGAUGAGAACACUCUGAGCCUCAGUCUCCUUCAAUGGAGGCACUGGACAGCAGGAAGUCAGAGAAGACUUUCAGUGCUAACUGCUCAGUUUUUAUCAAAGCAACUGUGAAUUGUAGAAAGGGGAAAAUUAGCUCUGAAGUAUUUAAGAGGAAAAUGGGGAAUUUUCUUGGAAUUGAUUGAACAUGUUUUAAGACAUCACAAGGAUGCCUCCAAACCUGCUUGACUAUGAACAAUGACUUGUUCUCCUCCAAGGACUAGAUAUGGAGUCUUAUGCUGACCAGGCUGGUCUUGAACUCCUGACCUCCAGUGAUCCUCCAUCUCAGCCUCCCAAAGCCCUGGAAUUACAGGCAAGGUUAUUGAAGAUCACACAGGCUGAAGAAGGGCUGCUGAAUUCUUCAAUAUGAACCAUCCCUUUGAUAAGAAACUGAGUGGGCCUGGUUCUUCUCAUCCCAGGAGAGCUCUGGUGUGCUUCCUGGCAUAUAAGAGAGCUCCCUGGCAGAGAAUGAAAACCACGCCCCUGCUUCACCUCUGCCUACACCUGGAUCUGGAAACCACUUAGGCACUACCAGGCAGCACCUGUUCUCUGCAGGGUCCAACCCUCAGUAUCUCUCUCCACAUUUUGCCCUCAGCCAGGCCUGGCCUCCUCUUCCUGAAGAAUCUUAUGUAUCCUUCAGAGCCAGCAAUCCCAUUACUGGGUAUACAUCCAAAAGAAAAUAAAUCGUUCUACCAAAAAGACACACGCAACCGUGUGUUCAUUGUUGCCCUAUUCACAAUAGCAAAGACAUGGACUCAACCUGUGCCCAUCAACUGGUGGAUUGGAUUUAAA